UUGGCUCAGGAUGAACGCUGGCGGCGUGCUUAACACAUGCAAGUCGAACGAGAAUCUGUGGAAAGAGGAUUCGUCCAAUCGAAGCAGAGGACAGUGGCGGACGGGUGAGUAACGCGUGAGGAACCUGCCUUUCAGAGGGGGACAACAGUUGGAAACGACUGCUAAUACCGCAUAACGCAUUUGUAUCGCAUGGUACGAAUGCCAAAGAUUUAUCGCUGAAAGAUGGCCUCGCGUCUGAUUAGCUGGUUGGUGAGGUAACGGCCCACCAAGGCGACGAUCAGUAGCCGGACUGAGAGGUUGGACGGCCACAUUGGGACUGAGACACGGCCCAGACUCCUACGGGAGGCAGCAGUGGGGAAUA
rnacentral:rRNA from 1 species